CAGGGUAAGUAUGCACUAUGUAUUACUUCUUCCUAAUUCCACAAGCAUCAGCACUGUCACCAUGCACCUUAUACUGAGCUUCUCUAUCUGCUGUAUGUUUACAUCAUGUUUUGCUCAGCAACUGACCAUCUCCCAGAAUCCUCCUUUCAUUGUGAAAAGAGCUGACCAGAAAGCGCUGAUGGACUGUCAACAAGUGACCACUGAUCACAACAUGAUGUACUGGUAUCAUCAAGAAGGAGGUCAAGGCCUGAAACUUAUCGCCUAUAUGAUCAGAGGACAAGAUGAUCCUUUCUAUGAGGGGAACUACAAAGACUUUUAUGAAAUGGGGAGAACCAAAGGAGACAAGCACAGCACGUUGAAGGCCUGGCUCAGACACUGACCAUCUCUCAAACCCCCCAGCUUAUUGUAAGCCGCGCCAACGGUGACGUUCACAUGGACUGCGCUCAGGUGACCACAGAUCAUGGCUACAUGUACUGGUAUUACCAAGAAGCCAACAGGGAGCUCAAGUUCAUUGCCAGUGCUAUUCAGGGACAGGAUCCCAUUUAUGAUGAUAAGUACACAGAUCAGUUGGUCUAUGAAAUGGGGAAACUGAGUGACAAGCGGACCUACCUGAAGAUCAAGACACUGACGGCCCAGAAUGAAGGAGUUUAUUACUGUGCAUCCAGUGCUGCACGGUGAUUGAAAACAGCCUAAGGCCUUUGAUCUAACCUCAACAGGAAUCUCAAUGGGAACACUCACUGAGCUGACACUAAUAAGCAAAACAACAUUAAAAAAGUGAAAUCUAAUAAAAACAUUACACAUAAUUUAA